CGUGUAGGCGGUUAUCCAAGUCGGGUGUGAAAGCCUUGAGCUUAACUCAAGAAAUGCACUCGGUACUGGGUGACUAGAGGACCGGAGAGGAUAGUGGAAUUCCCAGUGUAGUGGUGAAAUACGUAGAGAUUGGGAAGAACACCAGUGGCGAAGGCGGCUAUCUGGACGGUUUCUGACGCUAAGACGCGAAAGCGUGGGGAGCAAACA
rnacentral:rRNA from 1 species